rnacentral:rRNA from 1 species
UCGAUGGGAAACAGGUUAAUAUUCCUGUACUUGGUGUUACUGCGAAGGGGGGACGGAGAAGGCUAUGUUAGCCGGGCGACGGUUGUCCCGGUUUAAGCAUGUAGGCUGGUUAUCCAGGCAAAUCCGGAUAAUCAAGGCUGAGGUGUGAUGACGAAGCACUACGGUGCUGAAGUAACAAAUGCCCUGCUUCCAGGAAAAGCCUCUAAGCAUCAGGUAACAUCAAAUCGUACCCCAAACCGACACAGGUGGUCAGGUAGAGAAUACCAAGGCGCUUGAGAGAACUCGGGUGAAGGAACUAGGCAAAAUGGUGCCGUAACUUCGGGAGAAGGCACGCUGGUGUGUAGGUGAAG